AGUGAACGCUGGCGGUAGGCCUAACACAUGCAAGUCGAACGGCAGCACAGUAAGAGCUUGCUCUUACGGGUGGCGAGUGGCGGACGGGUGAGGAAUACAUCGGAAUCUACUUUUUCGUGGGGGAUAACGUAGGGAAACUUACGCUAAUACCGCAUACGACCUACGGGUGAAAGCAGUGGAUCUUCUGACCUUGCGCGAUUGAAUGAGCCGAUGUCGGAUUAGCUAGUUGGCGGGGUAAAGGCCCACCAAGGCGACGAUCCGUAGCUGGUCUGAGAGGAUGAUCAGCCACACUGGAACUGAGACACGGUCCAGACUCCUACGGGAGGCAGCAGUGGGGAAUAUUGGACAAUGGGCGCAAGCCUGAUCCUGCCAUACCGCGUGGGUGAAGAAGGCCUUCGGGUUGUAAAGCCCUUUUGUUGGGAAAGAAAAGCAGCAGGUUAAUACCCCGCUGUUCUGACGGUACCCAAAGAAUAAGCACCGGCUAACUUCGUG
rnacentral:rRNA from 1 species